rnacentral:rRNA from 1 species
GUAGGGAAUCUUCCACAAUGGACGAAAGUCUGAUGGAGCAACGCCGCGUGAACGAUGAAGGCUUUCGGGUCGUAAAGUUCUGUUGUAAGGGAAGAACAAGUGCCGCAGGCAAUGGCGGCACCUUGACGGUACCUUGCGAGAAAGCCACGGCUAACUACGUGCCAGCAGCCGCGGUAAUACGUAGGUGGCAAGCGUUGUCCGGAAGUAUUGGGCGUAAAGCGCGCGCAGGCGGCCUCUUAAGUCUGAUGUGAAAGCCCCCGGCUCAACCGGGGAGGGCAAUUGGAAACUGGGAGGCUUGAGUAUAGGAGAGAAGAGUGGAAUUCCACGUGUAGCGGUGAAAUGCGUAGAGAUGUGGAGGAACACCAGUGGCGAAGGCGACUCUUUGGCCUAUAACUGACGCUGAGGCGCGAAAGCGUGGGGAGCAAACAGGAUUAGAAACCCCAGUAGUCC